CCGUUGAUCCUUGCUCCAAAAACUAAUCAAGAUACAACUCUUUGCUGCUUGACGGUAAGAUCAUUUACAUUUUCAAGGAGAAGACUAUCUUCACAGAGUGUUCCAAGGGGUCUCAUAAUCCAAAAUGCAGCAACAAAACCUGCAAAAUCACCAGGUAAUAUUUAGUUAAUUUUUUAAAAGAUUUUCCAUAGGAUUUUGAAGAUUCCAGAAACAACUGGAUAAAUCUAUGCCAUUAGUUAUAUUAUAUUUAGAAUAAAGCUAGGAAUCUCAAUUAUAAUCUCAGCUUUCGAGUCCCUACUGGUAAGAGUCACAUGACAUCACUCAGUUAUUAACUCUAAUGAUGGGAUAAUAGUUGGGAUCCUAGCAUUAUUGUUGUAUUUAAGCUUAACUCUGACUUGGGUUACUUUUACUCUCCUUUGGAGGAAUCAGCUGAAGAAGAUUGGAAGACUAAGAGGGAGUUACUGCUACAGAAAAGGGUACUUAUCAGUUCUGUGUCUCUCUGCACACACACUAAUUAAGGCAUGCCUGCUUAGACAGUAAUUUGCUUUUAUCUACUGCCUUUAUACUUUGUAAACAUGAAUUUUCAAUCAAAUAUGGGACUUUAUAAAGCCUUUACACACGCAUGCAUAUUGAUACAUGAAGGGAUUGCGGUUCAAAGCUUACAAUUUUGAGAACGUCAAUUUUGGGAAUAUCUCAAAUGUCAAGUAGUGACAUAGGAAUUCUAUAGUUUGAUUUGCAAAAUAUAAUGCAGCAUUCUGUACCAUUUAUUAUCUUUCAAAAGAAGUUCAGGGUUCAAUAUAGACUGAAUUACCGUCUCAAUGCAUUUUUGUUCUGGUCCAUUGAUCUCGAAUAGACAAUCGCUGACAAGUAAUAACGGAAAAAAUAAGAAUGAGAUAAAGAGAACAACCUAUAUUUUUCAGGAAAGGAAGGAAACGGAUUAUUCACGAGCCAGGUUGGAUGAACCUUGACAAUCAGGAUAUGUUUUGGUGAUGAUUAAAUUGAGUCUUUGGAUAAAAUCUGUUGAAGUGUUUUAUCUUCUGCAGGUAA
rnacentral:lncRNA from 1 species